rnacentral:lncRNA from 1 species
UCAUCAGAGCCACGUCCCAGCAGCUCCAGGCCAACCCUGGACCAAUGAGGAGCCACGUUCUUGGGUUGACCCUCAUCAGAGCCACGUCCCAGCAGCUCCAGGCCAACCCUGGACCAAUGAGGAGCCACAUUUUGGGCCUGACCACUCCUGGAGACAGGUCCUGGUGGCCUCUUGACCACCUUCUCCAUCUCUAGGUCCUGCAUCCACCAAGGAGCCACUUUUUGUGGCCCAACCCCUCCAAGACGUGUCCUGGUGCCCCCUCAACCAUCUUCAUCCAACUCAAGGUCCCAUGUCCAAUGACGAUCCACGUUUUGGGGUCAAUCCCACCACCCUGGUGCCCUCACGACCAUCUUCAUCCAGCCCCACGUUCUGGUACCCACCAAGGAGCCAUUUUGGGGUCAAUCCCACCACCCUGGUGCCCUCGCGACCGUCCUCAUCCAGCCCCACGUUCUGGUACCCACCAAGGAGCCAUUUUGGGGUCAAUCCCACCACCCUGGUGCCCUCACGACCAUCUUCAUCCAGCCCCACGUUCUGGUACCCACCAAGGAGCCAUUUUGGGGUCAAUCCCACCAUCCUGGUGCCCUCGCGACCAUCUUCAUCCAGCCCCACGUUUUGGUACCCACCAAGGAGCCAUUUUGGGAUCAAUCCCACCACCCUGGUGCCCUCACGACCGUCCUCAUCCAGCCCCACGUUCUGGUACCCACCAAGGAGCCAUUUUGGGAUCAAUCCCACCACCCUGGUGCCCUCGCGACCGUCCUCAUCCAGCCCCACGUUCUGGUACCCACCAAGGAGCCAUUUUGGGGUCAAUCCCACCACCCUGGUGCUCUCCCAACCUUCUUCAUCCAGCCCCACAUUCUGAUACCCACCAAGGAGCCACAUUUUGGGGUCAAUCCCACCAUCCUGGUGCCCUCAUCCCGGCCCUGUCCCCCAAUCCGGUGGGGCCACACCACGGCCCGGGUUUCCUGGAGCCGGGCGGAAGAUACCGGAGCCGUGGCUGGAUUAGAGGAGAAGGCGGAGGAAGCCGUUUCCUCCUCCGGCCCCAGAUAAAAACCCAGGGUUGGCGGUGGCAGGAGGAAGACGCGCCCGCGGCCGUGGUGCUUUACCAGCUCGGGUGGAGCCUCCCCUCCCCGUGGCCGCGCGGCCCCACGCCAGCCCCCGGUAGGAAGAUGAGGCCCUGGGGUUGGGNCUCCUGGCCUUCCCUCCGUUCUCUCAGCCCUCCCCGCUCCCUCCCUCUGGUCUUUCUCAUCCUUCCCUUCCCCUUUCCUGUCCUCCCGUCCUCCCUUCCCUCCUUCCCCGUCCUCCCUCUUCCCAUUCUCCCUCUCCCCUUUCCCUUCCCCCUUUCCCCCCAUCCUCCCUUCCCCCUUCUCCCAUCCUCCUCAUCCUCCCUUAACCUCC